GGAUGUGAGGGCAAUCUGGCCUGACAUCUAUCAUCCCAUUGACAGCCAGGGUUGAUUUGGCUGAUCUCACUGGCUAGGUAGGUGUCCCCUUCCUACCCUAAGUGCUUCAUGUGAGGCCCUCCUUAAGCUGUGAGCUCAGUAGAAGAGGAUGAACUUCCCCAAAUAGAGGAGAACAGAUCUUUUAUCAAGCUGUGUUCCCCUACUAAAACCUCUAAACAAGCUUUCAGGUGCACCUUUUCUCAACUAUAUUGUCAUGAUAUUUCAUUUAUGUCCAAAAAUAACAUAUAAAGUUAUUUUAGGUUUCAUGU
rnacentral:snRNA from 1 species